rnacentral:rRNA from 1 species
GUGCCAGCAGCCGCGGUAAUACCAGCCCCCUGAGUGGUAAGGACGAUUAUUUGGCUUAAAGCGUCCGUAGCCGGCUUAGUGAGUCUCUUGUUAAAUCCAAUGAUUCAAUCAUUGAACUGCAAGAGAUACUACUAUGCUAGAGGACGGGAGAGGUCGACGGUAGUCCAAGGGUAGGGGUGAAAUCCUAUAAUCCUUGGAGGACCACCAGUGGCGAAGGCGGUCGACUAGAACGUGCCUGACGGUGAGGGACGAAAGCUGGGGGAGCGAACCGGAUUAGAUACCCGGGUAGUCCCAGCUGUAAACGAUGCGGGCUAGGUGUAGGGGCAAGCUACGUGCUUGCUCUUGUGCCGCAGAGAAAUUGUUAAGCCCGCCGCCUGGGGAGUACGAUCGCAAGAUUGAAACUUAAAGGAAUUGGCGGGGGAGCACCACAAGGGGUGAAGGCUGCGGUUUAAUUGGAGUCAACGCCGGGAACCUUACCGGGGCUGACAGCAGAGUGAAGGCCAGAUUGAAGCUCUUGCCAGACAAGCUGAGAGGAGGUGCAUGGCCGUCGACAGUUCGUGCCGUGAGGUGUACUGUUAAGUCAGGCAACGAACGAGACCCCCACCAUUAGUUGCCAGCGAAUUCCAACGGAAUGUCGGGCACACUAAUGGGACUGCCAUCGAUAAGAUGGAGGAAGGAGGGGGCAACGGCAGGUCAGUAUGCCCCGAAUGCCCCGGGCCACACGCGGCCUGCAAUGGUAGGGACAGAGGGCUCCGACCUCGAGAGAGGAAGGUAAUCCCUAAACCCUAUCUCAGUUGGGAUUGAGGGCUGGAACUCGCCCUCAUGAACAUGGAAUCCUAGUAACCCGCGUGUCAUCAUCGCGCGGUGAAUACGUUCCCGCUUCUUGCACACACCGGCCGUCGUUCCCACCAAGUUGAGUUUAAGAUGAGGCUUAGUCUUCUUGGCUAUGUCAAAUCUGGCUCGAUGAAGAAGGAAAAGUCGUAACAAGGUAAGCC